rnacentral:lncRNA from 1 species
CAAAAAACAGUCCUGGGUUUCACUCAUUCUUGUGGGCUGUUUCAGGAACUCGAAUGACAAGCCCCGAUGUGUCGCAGUCCGUGUGUGCCGUGUGUUUGGGACGGGACCGAGUGGCACUGAAGGCGCGAGGAGAUGCUUGCAGCCAGGGGGCACUAGAGCCCUGGAAGAUGUUGUUGCGAAGUGCCGUGCCCCACCAUCCAGCUUCAUAAUUGCUGCCGCGGGGCUGAGGCGAAGCCGUGGGGAAACGCGCCGAGGUGCUGCUGCUCAUCUGGAGACAGACGCCUCCGUAAAGCCUCCGAAAUUUCCUGGCCUUUUGUUUCCGGCUUCAAAGGCGGAGGAAUCGGCCCAAAAAAUGUCAGCAUUAAUCUGCUCCAUUAGCACGAAGAAAAGCCACAUUUAACCUAAUCCUGGUGCCGAGGGUUCAGGUUCGGGACCCUCUCUGGGGUUUUAAUUACACUCGUGUUCAUCAUUAUCGUCUCCAGAACGUCUGUUUAUGAGACUCUGUUUACAGCCCACAUUAUAAUUUUAGGGUAAACAGACAAGCGGCUUGGCCGAGGCAAGUGCUGCAGUGAAUUGUCGUGACAACACCGGUCGUGGGAGGGGCUUAGUCGGCUUGCCCAGGUGAUGUAGGUGAUGGGUGUGUCCGUGAGAAGUUGUGGAUCUCAUGCCUCCUCUGGAUGUCGGGCGCGUCGCGCUCAGAACUCGCUUCCUCCAGGAAGGGCUGUGUUAGGAGACACUGAUGGGGACCCCUGCAGUCUCGAACGAGCGUCUCCAGAAAGCCUUUGGAAUAUCAACGCUGUUGAGAAUUUUUUCAGCAGGACUCUACAAAACACACUGAUUUUUAUUGGUUGCCGUCAGAGAGACACCCCGUGACCGGAGCGACGGAGGGAAGCCGCACUGGGGUGUCGUGGAAAGGAACACGUUUUGUUUGUGACUGUAAAGUCCCCUUUACCUGCUAAGCCACAAUCAAUAGAAGCUUCAUCGUACGGACGGCCCCUGACUGACUUAGUAGUUCGGGGGGUAAAAGUGUGGGAUAUAGCUAUAGUAAUUAAAAAGAAAUGGAACAGUGAGGAACAGCGGAC